GGUCAAGCGAAUAAGCGCACACGGUGGAUGCCUAGGCGGUCAGAGGCGACGAAGGACGUGGUAGCCUGCGAAAAGUGUCGGGGAGCUGGCAACAAGCUUUGAUCCGGCAAUAUCCGAAUGGGGAAACCCACUGCUUCGGCAGUAUCUUGCAGUGAAUUCAUAGCUGCUUGAAGCGAACCCGGUGAACUGAAAUAUCUAAGUAACCGGAGGAAAAGAAAUCAACCGAGAUUCCCUGAGUAGUGACGAGCGAACGGGGAACAGCCCUUAAGCUGGAAUGGCUUUAGAAAAACAAUCUGGAAAGAUUGGCCAUAGAAGGUGAUAGCCCUGUAUUUAAAAGGGCCACUCCAGUGAAGACGAGUAGGGCGGGGCACGUGAAACCCUGUCUGAAUAUGGGGGGACCAUCCUCCAAGGCUAAAUACUCCUGACCGACCGAUAGUGAACCAGUACCGUGAGGGAAAGGCGAAAAGAACCCCGGAGAGGGGAGUGAAAUAGAUCCUGAAACCGUGUGCGUACAAGCAGUAGGAGCUCGAAAGAGUGACUGCGUACCUUUUGUAUAAUGGGUCAGCGACUUACUGUUCGUGGCAAGCUUAACCGUAUAGGGGAGGCGAAGGGAAACCGAGUCUGAUAAGGGCGCAUAGUCGCGGGCAGUAGACCCGAAACCGGGUGAUCUAGUCAUGGCCAGGGUGAAGGUGCCGUAACAGGUACUGGAGGCCCGAACCCACGUCUGUUGCAAAAGACGGGGAUGAGCUGUGAUUAGGAGUGAAAAGCUAAUCGAACCCGGAGAUAGCUGGUUCUCCUCGAAAGCUAUUUAGGUAGCGCCUCGGACGAAUACUACUGGGGGUAGAGCACUGUUAUGGCUAGGGGGUCAUCGCGACUUACCAAACCAUUGCAAACUCCGAAUACCAGUACGUACUAUCCGGGAGACACACGGCGGGUGCUAACGUCCGUCGUGAAAAGGGAAACAACCCAGACCCACAGCUAAGGUCCCAAAUUCACUGCUAAGUGGAAAACGAUGUGGAAAGGCAUAGACAGCCAGGAGGUUGGCUUAGAAGCAGCCACCCUUUAAAGAAAGCGUAAUAGCUCACUGGUCGAGUCGGUCUGCGCGGAAGAUUUAACGGGGCUAAGCAGUGAACCGAAGCUUGGGGUGCGUAAAACUUCGGUUUUAUGCGCGGUAGAGGAGCGUUCCGUAAGCCUGCGAAGGUGGAUUGAGAAGUCUGCUGGAGGUAUCGGAAGUGCGAAUGCUGACAUGAGUAACGAUAAUGCGGGUGAAAAGCCCGCACGCCGAAAGCCCAAGGUUUCCUUGCGCAACGUUAAUCGACGCAGGGUUAGUCGGUCCCUAAGGCGAGGGCGAAAGCCGUAGUCGAUGGGAAGCAGGUUAAUAUUCCUGCACCUCGCGUGAGUGCGAUGGAGGGACGGAGAAGGUUAGGUGUACCGGGCGUUGGUUGUCCCGGGGAAAGGCGGUAGGUUUGGAUCUUUGGCAAAUCCGGGAUCCUUUAAGACCGAGCACCGAGACGAGCCUUUAUGGCGAAGUCACUGAUACCACGCUUCCAGGAAAAGCUCCUAAGCUUCAGCUCACGAAGACCGUACCGUAAACCGACACAGGUGGGUAGGAUGAGAAUUCUCAGGCGCUUGAGAGAACUCGGGUGAAGGAACUAGGCAACAUGGCACCGUAACUUCGGGAGAAGGUGCACCCUUUUUGGUGGCUCAUGCGAGCUAUAGCUGAAGAGGGUCGCAGAAACCAGGCCGCUGCGACUGUUUAUCAAAAACACAGCACUCUGCAAACACGAAAGUGGACGUAUAGGGUGUGACGCCUGCCCGGUGCUGGAAGGUUAAUUGAUGGGGUCAGCCGCAAGGCGAAGCUCUUGAUCGAAGCCCCAGUAAACGGCGGCCGUAACUAUAACGGUCCUAAGGUAGCGAAAUUCCUUGUCGGGUAAGUUCCGACCUGCACGAAUGGCGUAACGACAGCGGCGCUGUCUCCACCCGAGACUCAGUGAAAUUGAAAUCGCUGUGAAGAUGCAGCGUUCCCGUGGCAAGACGGAAAGACCCCGUGAACCUUUACUAUAGCUUUACACUGAACGUUGAGUUCGUCUGUGUAGGAUAGGUGGGAGGCUAUGAAACUGUGGCGCUAGCUGCAGUGGAGCCAACCUUGAAAUACCACCCUGUCGUGCUUGACGUUCUAACCUAGAUCCGUUAUCCGGAUCAGGGACCGUGUAUGGUGGGUAGUUUGACUGGGGCGGUCUCCUCCUAAAGAGUAACGGAGGAGCACGAAGGUACGCUCAGCGCGGUCGGACAUCGCGCACUGUGUGCAAAGGCAUAAGCGUGCUUGACUGCAAGAUCGACGGAUCAAGCAGGUACGAAAGUAGGUCUUAGUGAUCCGGUGGUUCUGUAUGGAAGGGCCAUCGCUCAACGGAUAAAAGGUACUCCGGGGAUAACAGGCUGAUACCGCCCAAGAGUUCAUAUCGACGGCGGUGUUUGGCACCUCGAUGUCGGCUCAUCACAUCCUGGGGCUGUAGUCGGUCCCAAGGGUAUGGCUGUUCGCCAUUUAAAGUGGUACGCGAGCUGGGUUCAGAACGUCGUGAGACAGUUCGGUCCCUAUCUGCCAUGGGCGUUGGAAGUUUGAGAGGGGCUGCUCCUAGUACGAGAGGACCGGAGUGGACGAACCUCUGGUGUUCCGGUUGUCACGCCAGUGGCAUUGCCGGGUAGCUAUGUUCGGAAGCGAUAACCGCUGAAAGCAUCUAAGCGGGAAGCGCGCCUCAAGAUGAGACUUCCCGGGGCACAAGCCCCCUAAAGGAACCAUAUAGACUAUGUGGUUGAUAGGUCAGGUGUGUAAGUACAGCAAUGUAUUGAGCUAACUGAUACUAAUGAUCCGUGCGGCUUGACCAU
rnacentral:rRNA from 1 species